AUUGAACGCUGGCGGCAGGCCUAACACAUGCAAGUCGAGCGAGCGGCGGACGGGUGAGUAAUGUCUGGGAUACUGCCUGAUGGAGGGGGCUAACUACUGGAAACGGUAGCUAAUACCGCAUACCAUCAGAUGUGCCCAGAUGGGAUUAGCUAGUAGGUGGGGUCACGGCUCACCGAGGCGACGAUCCCUAGCUGGUCUGCGAGGAUGACCAGCCACACAGGAACUGAGACACGGGCCAGACUCCUACGGGAGGCAGCAGUGGGGAAUAUUGCACAAUGGGCGCGAGCCUGCUGCAGCCAUGCCGCGUGUGUGAAGAAGGCCUUCGGGUUGGAAAGCACUUUCAGCGGGGAGGCGUUACCCGCAGAAGAAGCACCGGCUAACUCCGUGCCAGCAGCCGCGGUAAUAC
rnacentral:rRNA from 1 species